rnacentral:rRNA from 1 species
UACGUAGGGUCCGAGCGUUGUCCGGAAUUAUUGGGCGUAAAGGGCUCGUAGGCGGUUUGUCGCGUCGGGAGUGAAAACACGGGGCUUAACCCCGUGCCUGCUUCCGAUACGGGCAGACUAGAGGUAUGCAGGGGAGAACGGAAUUCCUGGUGUAGCGGUGAAAUGCGUAGAGAUCGGCAGGAACACCCAGGGAGAAAUCAGCCGCCUGGGCAAGUGCUGACGCUGAGGUGCGAAAGCGUGGGGAGCGAACCGG